UGCGCUCAUUCGCGCCUUCUACGUUUUCGUGUAGUAGCGCUGCUAGGCUAGGGUUCUUGAGGUGAGGAGGGCAGGGGCAAUGCCGGCCUCCAACGGCGGCAUCGAGAUCGAUGGCGAUGGCGAUGCCUUCUCCGCCGCGGAUCAGCCCACGAAUUCCAAUGUCCAGGUGGUUGUCCGGGUGAGGCCGCCGAAUCAGCGGGAGCACGAGCAGGGCUACAAGAAGGCUGCUGCCGUCGAUGCCGCAGCUCAGACGCUCACUCUCAGUGUCACGCCAUUUGCCAGAUCCUUCAAGUUUGAUUAUGUUGCCGAUGAGGACGUUGGCCAGGAAGAUAUUUUCCAAAGAGUGGGGAAGCCCAUCACGGAUGCUUGCUUGCAAGGAUACCAUUGCUGUCUCAUUGCUUACGGACAAACUGGUGCUGGAAAGACCUUCACAAUGGAAGGUCUCAGUGUCACGGAGGAUCAGGCUCAAGCGCAUGAAAUGCGUGGCCUGAUUCCUCGCAUUUUGGACUACAUGUUCCAGAGAAUGGGAGAGGAGAAAAAGGAGCGGCAGAAGGAUGUUGAAUAUGGCAUCAAGUGCUCGUAUCUUCAGAUAUAUAACGAGCAAGUGCAAGAUCUUCUAGAUCCCGACUCCGCUCAUUUAAAUAUCCGCGAGGAUACGAAGAAUGGAAUGUAUGUGGAUGGUCUCCAGGAAGUGGUCGUGCCAUCUGCAGAAGCUACUUAUGGAGUUUUUCGGCGUGGAUCUCAAAACCGGCACGUCGGGAUGACUGCUAUGAACAUUGAAAGCAGUAGGUCACAUAGCGUGUUUACUUUAGUGGUCGAGUCUCAGCGUGUUGUUGGUGGAGUGAUGAACAGAAAGACAUCGAGAUUUUAUCUUGUUGACUUAGCAGGAUCUGAGCGUCAGAAGUACAGCGAGACUAUUGGGAUUCGACUCAAAGAAGCUGGGAGUAUAAAUAAAUCGUUGUCCGCACUUGGAAACGUUAUAAAGGCGCUUGUGGACAUAUCAGAAGGCAAAGUAAGGCACGUUCCUUACCGGGACUCGAAGCUUACAUUCCUGCUGAAGGACGCUUUGGGUGGAAAUUCGAAGUGUACGCUAAUAGCGAAUGUGAGUCCAGCCGAUAAGAAUGGGGAGGAAACGCUUUCCACUCUUAAAUUUGCUCAAAGAGCGAAGUUGAUGAGAAACGCUGCCGUUGUUAACGAGGACAUGCUUGGUAAUCCAGCUAUUAUGGGCGAGGAAAUAAAGAGACUUAGACUCGAGAUUGCAACACUGCGAGCAAAUAUUGGAGCUCCAUCGCUGAUUUCGAUACCAACUGUGGCGGCAGAGGCACUCCCAGAAAGCGAGCGAAUCAGCCGCUUGGAACAUAUAUUAUCUGAAUCUACAAAGCAGUCUCUAGCCGCUGAAAGGAAAUCAGCUCUAGAGCUGCACGAACUCGCCACGAAGUACGAGGCUGCACAAGCGGUUUGUGAGCGACUGGAAACAGCUUUACAGUCGCAAAAAAUGAUAACGAGGUUGCGUGAAUGUGCUAUCAAAAGAGUUGAGGGUGGCCGUCCAGCUACUGACGGUGAUGAUGGAACUUCCGAAAUGAAAGAAGAGAUUGAACAGUUACGCAAACAAGUAGAGCAUCAUCCAGACGUUGUGAGGUUUAAGAUGGAACUCGAUCUCUGUAAAGCCAAACUCGAGGAAUACGAGCACAAGGACAAAGGCGAGGAGCAUGUUGCUCAACUUGAAAACUACAGCCAGACGCUAAAGCUUGAAUUGCAAGACACUUUAGAAGAAAAGGCUAAGCUUGAUGAAGCCAUGGCUGCCAUGAAAGCUGAGAAUGAGUCAGCAAGAGCUCAAGUACUAGUAGCCGAAGAGCAGUUUUUGAAGCUGCAAGAGGCAGCAGAAAAAUGUAAGAAGGAAGCUACGGAGGCGAUACAAAAGCAAGAGAAGACGGACGAAAGGCUACGUGAAGCAAUACAAGAACAGGACCGGGUUUGGCGAAUGUGCAACCUGGCAGAAGCACAAGCAACAGAACUCGCUCUUGAGCUUGCCAAAGAGAAGUCUGACGCAUCAAAGGCGCUACAGAAAGAAAAGGAGAUUUUAAAUUCCAUGGUGCAAGUCAUCAGUGGGGAGCGAGAUGAGGCAGCAAGAACAUCGAGUGAACUGGCAACGAAACUAGAUAUUGCCCUCGCUGCAAAUGCUCUUUUAGAGUCUCGCAUCAGAGAUUUGGAGGGAAGGCUGGUUGAAAAGAGAAGAGAGAGCAUAAGUUGAGAUCUGUACACAUGUGCUUUUUGUUGGUAUUGUGGGUAUCAAAAUUUUAACCAACCGGUAACAGGAAGUGAUCCAGCGCACCCAUGAAAAGCUUGGCUUUUACUUGUAGAUACUCGUUCCAAGUGAGGCAGCGGUAAAGAGGUUUGCUGGGAUGGAUGGGGCAAAUGGAAACCGUGGGAGGCGGGGUGAAGAAGUAAACCAGCGAGAGACGUUCGAAGCGUUCGUUAACGAGAGCUCUGUGCAAGGCACUGUGGAAGACGUUGUUGCUCAUCAACUGUAGAAAGGCAAGGCAAGGCAAAGCACUGUCAGAGGCUGGAAAAACUGGAUGAGAUUCCAGGAUACCUGAAGCAUGUCACCGACUUGGAUGACAAAGGCACCGGGAACAGGCUUGAUGGCGAUCCACUUGUCACCUCUUUUCACUUGCAAGCCUCCGACGCUGCCUUGGUGCAUGAUGGUGAGGCAGCUGGAAUCGGUGUGGGACGCGAGACCCAUUGCUUCCGAGGGGCUGGGACAGGGGGGAUAGAAGUUCAUGUGGAUCAUCCCCCAGAAGUUCCGGAUAUGUUGGUGAAUUCGCUCCUCGCUUGCUUCCAGGCCGUGGAGGAUGAGGUCGGUGAUGAGCAGGGCCAGGCCGCGCAUCGCCUUAUCGUACUCUUCAAACGACUUGCUGCCAAGGACAGAGACAAAAACCGUGAGAGCAUGAAAAAGACGUCGUCGUUUGUUGGUACGCGAAAGAAAUCUUGCUCGCUGUGGACGCAGAGCUUGCGAGCGUAGGCCUCGAAAUUGUUGUGCGGAGAGCCCAUCAUGGUGAAGGCCUCGGACCACAUUAGCCGGUUGAAGAAGGAGGCCAUUCUGGUGGCGCCGUAGCCGAAGAGAGUCCCGGGUGGUCUCUCGGCCCGGAGCUUGUCCGACUCGGGGAGAGCAAACAAGUCGAGGCUCGUCCUCCGCGCUCGCUCCACAACUUGGUCAGGCACGCCGUGAUUCACCACCUGGAACGCUCCCCACUCGCGGCAGGCGGAUCUCAUCUCCUCGCAUAUCUCCUUGCGCCUCUCAUCGGAUCGAUCCAGCUCCGCCAGGUCGAUCACAGGCACCACCACCUCGUCCUCCAGCUCCGCCGGAUCAUCCUCCGCUGCUGCCGUCUCGCUCGAGCUCCAGCGAUAAGCUUCCGGGAGCUGCUGCCCUCUCUCGAGCAUCUUGCUGAGGCUUCCUACAUUCGACACCGAUCGCAGGAGCUGGGCUCCGCAGGAAGAAGGCGUGGGAGACUGGGAGAGCCCCGAUGGGAGCCGUGUUGUUCCUAGCAUCAUCUAUCUCCAAGGUAGACUAUAUAAAAACCAAAGUAUCAGGAGUUAUGAA